AACGACACAAUAAACAACACUUGCAUACAAAAUAGCUUUGCUAGCAUAGUGAUGUGAUUUAAAAAAAAAAAAAAAAAAAAAAGCCAAACUACCUAAUGAUAACACGGAAAAUAUAUAUAAAUAGCUUAAAUACUGUAUUUCAAGUCGGUUGUAUUAUCAGUGUUAAUGCUUACUGGUCACAUCCUAGUUUAACUUCCUUAUCAGUCAAUAAUUCCAAAUCUUAUGUGAUAGACUUUCCCUUCCUGCUAUUGUUUUUUUCUUUUA